GAUGAACGCUGGCGGCGUGCCUAAUACAUGCAAGUCGAGCGAACAGACGAGGAGCUUGCUCCUCUUACGUUAGCGGCGGACGGGUGAGUAACACGUGGAUAACCUACCUAUAAGACUGGGAUAACUUCUGGAAACCGGAGCUAAUACCGGAUAAUAUCUUUAACCGCAUGGUUCAAUAGUGAAAGACGGUUUUGCUUUCACUUAUAGAUGUAUCCGCGCCGCAUUAGCUAGUUGGUAAGGUAACGGCUUACCAAGGCAACGAUGCGUAGCCGACCUGAGAGGGUGAUAGGCCACACGGGAACUGAGACACGGUCCAGACUCCUACGGGAGGCAGCAGUAGGGAAUCUUCCGCAAUGGGCGAAAGCCGGACGGAGAAACGCCGCGUGAGUGAUGAAGGUCUUCGGAUCGUAAAACUCUGUUAUUAGGGAAGAACAAAUGUGUAAGUAACUAUGCACGUCUUGACGGUACCUAAUCAGAAAGCCACGGCUAACUACGUG
rnacentral:rRNA from 1 species